GACGAACGCUGGCGGCGUGCCUAAUACAUGCAAGUUGAACGCUGAAGAGUGGGGCUUGCACUAAUUUGAAGAGCUGCGAACGGGUGAGUAACGCGUGGGCAACCUGCCUUUGAGCGGGGGACAACAUUUGGAAACGAUUGCUAAUACCGCAUAACAACUUUAAACAUAUUUCAUACAUUUGAAAGGUGCAAUUGCAUCACUCAAAGAUGGUCCCGCGUUGUCUUAGCUAGUUGGUGAGGUAAAGGCUCACCUAGGCGAUGAUACAUAGCCGACCUGAGAGGGUGAUCGGGCACAGUGGAACUGAGACACGGCCCAGACGUCUCCGGAAGGCAGCAGUAGGGAAUCUUCGGCAAUGGACGUAAAUCUGAUCGCGCGACGACGCGUGAGGGAAGAAGGUUGUCGGAUCGAAAAGAACAGUUGGUAGUGAAGAACAUUAGUGAGAGUGGAACGCUCAAGCGGUGACGGUAACUAACCAGAAAGGGACGGCUAACUACGUG
rnacentral:rRNA from 1 species